rnacentral:rRNA from 1 species
GGCAGCAGCCGUAUCUCCCUGCAGGGCUCAACUGGCAGCCCUCUGGAGCUCAGCAGGGUUGAGCCUGGUCAGUACCUGGAUGGGAGACUCCUGGGAAGCUAUGGUUGCUGCUGGAA